GGAUGAACGCUGACAGAAUGCUUAACACAUGCAAGUCAACUUGAACUUCGGUUUGGGUGGCGGACGGGUGAGUAACGCGUAAAGAACUUGCCUCACAGAUAGGGACAACAUUUGGAAACGAAUGCUAAUACCUGAUAUUAUGAUUAUAUGGCAUCGUAUAAUUAUGAAAGCUAUAUGCGCUGUGAGAGAGCUUUGCGUCCCAUUGCUAGUUGGAGAGGUAACGGCUCACCAAGGCGAUGAUGGGUAGCCGGCCUGAGAGGGUGAUCGGCCACAAGGGGACUGAGACACGGCCCUUACUCCUACGGGAGGCAGCAGUGGGGAAUAUUGGACAAUGGACCAAGAGUCUGAUCCAGCAAUUCUGUGUGCACGAUGAAGUUUUUCGGAAUGUAAAGUGCUUUCAGUUGGGAAGAAAAAAAUGACGGUACCAACAGAAGAAGUGACGGCUAAAUACGUG
rnacentral:rRNA from 1 species